UCUCCAAUAGCUCAGUUUGGUUAGAGCGUUCACAUUUAUAAAGUGAAAGGUCGUUGGUUCAAGACCAACUUGGGGAC
rnacentral:tRNA from 1 species